GAGUUUGAUCCUGGCUCAGGAUGAACGCUAGCUACAGGCUUAACACAUGCAAGUCGAGGGGCAGCAUGGUCUUAGCUUGCUAAGGCCGAUGGCGACCGGCGCACGGGUGAGUAACACGUAUCCAACCUGCCGUCUACUCUUGGACAGCCUUCUGAAAGGAAGAUUAAUACAAGAUGGCAUCAUGAGUCCGCAUGUUCACAUGAUUAAAGGUAUUCCGGUAGACGAUGGGGAUGCGUUCCAUUAGAUAGUAGGCGGGGUAACGGCCCACCUAGUCUUCGAUGGAUAGGGGUUCUGAGAGGAAGGUCCCCCACAUUGGAACUGAGACACGGUCCAAACUCCUACGGGAGGCAGCAGUGAGGAAUAUUGGUCAAUGGGCGAGAGCCUGAACCAGCCAAGUAGCGUGAAGGAUGACUGCCCUAUGGGUUGUAAACUUCUUUUAUAAAGGAAUAAAGUCGGGUAUGGAUACCCGUUUGCAUGUACUUUAUGAAUAAGGAUCGGCUAACUCCGUGCCAGCAGCCGCGGUAA
rnacentral:rRNA from 1 species